AGCCACGGCCAUAUCACCUGGCAUCUUUCGCCUGGUUUCCCAUUGAAGCUAAGCAGGGUUGAGCCUGGCCAGUACCCGAAUGGGAAACCUCCUGGGCCAGUAAGGGGUGCUC
rnacentral:rRNA from 1 species